rnacentral:rRNA from 1 species
UGGCGGACGGGUGAGUAACGCGUGGAUAACCUGCCUUAUACAGGGGGAUAACAGGGAGAAAUUCUUGCUAAUACCCCAUAGGUAUGUCUGACGCAUGUUGGACAUAUUAAAGCUUUGGCGGUAUAAGAUGGGUCCGCGUCUGAUUAGCUAGUUGGUGGGGUAAAGGCCCACCAAGGCGACGAUCAGUAGCCGGCUUGAGAGAGUGGACGGCCACAUUGGGACUGAGACACGGCCCAAACUCCUACGGGAGGCAGCAGUGGGGAAUAAUGCACAAUGGGGGAAACCCUGAUGCAGCGACGCCGCGUGAAGGAAGAAGGUCUUCGGAUCGUAAACUUCUAUCAGCAGGGAAGAAGGAAGUGACAGUACCUGAGUAAGAAGCCCCGGCUAACUACGUGCCAGCAGCCGCGGUAAUACGUAGGGGGCGAGCGUCAUCCGGAAUUACUGGGUGUA